rnacentral:rRNA from 1 species
GCGCCAGACUCCUACGGGAGGCAGCAGUGGGGAAUAUUGCACAAUGGGGAGAACCCUGAUGCAGCGACGCCGCGUGGGUGAAGGAGCCCCUCGGUGCGUAAAGCCCUAUCGGCAGGGAAGAAACAGACGGUACCUGACUAAGGAGCCCCGGCUAACUACGUGCCAGCAGCCGCGGUAAUACGUAGGGGGCAAGCGUUAUCCGGAUUCACUGGGUGUAAAGGGAGCGUAGACGGCGGCGCAAGUCUGGAGUGAAAGCCUGGGGCCCAACCCCGGGACUGCUCUGGAAACUGCGGCGCUGGAGUACGGGAGGGGCAGGCGGAAUUCCUGGUGUAGCGGUGAAAUGCGUAGAUAUCAGGAGGAACACCGGCGGCGAAGGCGGCCUGCUGGACAUUAACUGACGCUGAGGCGCGAAAGCGUGGGGAGCAAACAGGAUUAGAUACCCGAGUACGC